UGAUAAUAGUAUGAUAAUGCAUGAUAAUAGUAUGAUCACGUCGGGUGAUGUCCCCCCUGGGGUAGAGAGGUCUGUCUUAGGGGUGAUGUCCCCCCCUGGGGUAGAGAGGUCUGUCUUAGGGGUGGUGUCCCCCCUGGGGUAGAGGUCUGUCUUAGGGGUGGUGUCCCCCCCUGGGGUAGAGGUCUGUCUUAGGGGUGAUGUCCCCCCCUGGGGUAGAGGUCUGUCUUAGGGGUGGUGUCCCCCCUGGGGUAGAGGUCUGUCUUAGGGGUGGUGUCCCCCCUGGGGUAGAGGUCUGUCUUGUUUUGUAAUAUUAUGAUAAUGCAUGAUAAUAACACGCUAAUGCAUGAUAAUAGUAUGAUAAUGCAUGAUAAUAGUAUGAUCACGUCGUCUGAGGGUUAACUGACACAUGCUCUAAUUCAUUAAUAGACAUCAAGGGCUUGUGUCCCAAAUGGCACCCUAUUCCCUACAUAGUGCACUACUACCUUAUAGACCCUGGUUCAAAGUAGUGCAC
ensembl:lncRNA